GCGGGGCACGGUGGCACGUGCCUGUAGUCCCAGCUAUUUGGGAGGCUGAGGUGGGAGGAUCGCUUGAGCCCAGGAGUUCUGGGCUGUAGUGCACUAUGCCGAUCGGGUGUCUGCACUAAGUUCGGCAUCAAUAUGGUGACCUCCCAGGAGCAGGGGACCACUAGGUUGCCUAAGGAGGGGUGAACUGGCCCAGGUCAGAAACAGAGCAGGUUAAAACUCCCGUGCUGAUCAGUAGUGGGAUCGCGCCUGUGAAUAGCCACUGCACUCCAGCCUGGGCAACAUAGCGAGACCCCGUUUCU
rnacentral:SRP_RNA from 1 species